rnacentral:rRNA from 1 species
GGCCUAAAGGGUAGUUUUAGAUCUAAUAAAAUAGAAUUUAAAAUUUAUUUAAUAGUUAUAUAUAAUUAUAAAAUGUAAAUCCAAAAACGAAAGUUAUACUAUAUAAUCUUGAAUCUACUAUAGCUGAGAAACAAACUGGGAUUAGAUACCCCACUAUGCUCAACCUUAAAAUGGAUAUUCCCGCCAGAGCAUUACGAGCUACAGCUUAAAACUCAAAGGACUUGGCGGUGCUCUAUACCCACCUAGAGGAGCCUGUUCUAUAAUCGACACUCCCCGAUAAACCUCACCAUUUCUCGCUACUACAGCCUAUAUACCACCGCCCUCAGUUCAUCUUUUAAAAGAAUAAUAAUGAACAAAAUGAUUAAAAAUAAAAAAGUCAGGUCAAGGUGUAGCAAAUGAAAUGGAAAGAAAUGGGCUACUUUUUUAAUAAUAAAAAACGGAAUAUUAUAUGAAAUAAAAUAUAAAGAAGGAUUUAGAAGUAAAAAGAAAAAAGAGUGUUCUUUUUAAAUUGGCAAUAGAGCACGCACACACCGCCCGUCACCCUUUUCAAAAUAUAUAAAACUUAAAUAAAUAUAUAAACUUACAAGAAAAGGUAAGUCGUAACAUGGUAAGUCUACCGGAAGGUGGCCUUAGAUAU